GCCUGGCUGGCUCAGUCAGCAGAGCAUGUGACUCUUGAUCUCAGGGUAGUGAGUUCGAGCCCCACGCUGGGAA
rfam:Canis lupus familiaris chromosome 4, whole genome shotgun sequence.